UGCUAUUUUUCAACGAUCUCAAAAUCAUGGUGGAUACAAAAUCAGCAAGACUAUUACCUUCCAUGGCAAAUGAGAGUUAGAAUUCAUAAUAGGGAAAGAUUGUUUUUAAAGUCUUACAAGAGUCAUUGUUCUUACCUCUUUUUUUGGCUGAUAUUAAGUGGGAGAGAGAUUAGAAUCCAAGUUCUCUUUACAGGUAGAACUAGAUAAUACUACUGAGUGACAUAACUCUGCUAAUACCAAUUAUUUGUUACAAGUGGCUUAGAGUCAAACAAUUACAUGGCGUUGUUUUAUAUUCUUUGGGGGAAGGUGGAGGACCCAGAGGCUGUUCCUACCACGUCCAGGUUUGCCAAUGACAUCCUGGUCUUCUUUCAUUAUAAUAUAAAGUCAAUUUUUCACCCUCAAUAAGCUAAAAUGAAAUCAAAUUCUCUUGACUUUCAAACCUUUCUUCCCCCACAAUAUAGAUUCCUUCUAGUUUUAUCUAUUCAACAAUUAUUUGCGCCAUUAUAACCGCUCUGAUUAUAAACAUUUACAAGAAUCUUGCCCUUCCAAGAACUGAAAGGGGAUCAAGUUGUUUAAUUAAGGUAUUGCAUCAUCUCUAUCAACCACCCUCUCUAGGGGUCCAUUGAUUGUCCUCCCCUUUACGCUUUCUAGUCAGCUUGAACUAAAUGAUUCGUUCUUCUCAUACAGUCCUAGACAAUAAGUAAUUAUGUAUUAAUUGUUUCCAUUUUAAUAUUUCAAAUCAAUAGAAAAUACAAUAUAUCAAAGGCGCAAAGUUUGGAAAAGAGGCAUGGUAUCUUGGACCCUUGAUGCAUUUGAUUCACUUGUAAAUGUGCAAGCAUUUGUAACUUUCGUUAACGAUUUUUAGGUCAAAUAAUAUAUCUUAGUGUUUUCAACAAAAACAUCAAAGUUCAGAUUUAAAAAGAAUUUAACUGUUACGCGUAACUAUUGCCAAAUCUAAAAUAUGGUAUGUAACUUCAUAAGUCAAAGACCUAGGGAUACCCUUUUUAGAUUGGUGUGAGGUCACUUUCAGGAUGUAACAAGUAAUGUAGUAGUCUAAGUUACAGAAAUAACUGGUACUAUUACCUAUAGUUGCAGUGACAGUUAUUGAAAUCAUAUCUUUAGGUUUAGGUAUGUAGUUAUUAUAGUGGUUCUCCCACUUGCAUAAUAUAUAUGAUUGUAGUUUUGGCUCAGGUGGCAAGUCCAUUUCUUGGUCAGAUAGGUUCUGUAGUCUGUACAAUAAUGAUUGUAGCACUAUAGCGCUUGUUUGGCUGAAGGAAUCCAGUGUAUGAUUUGCUUGGCAUCUCAUUAUUUGAUUAUUGUGUCACCAGCACCCAAGAAAUCAAAUCAGGGUCAUAUAUAGAUAUAGGUAAAAAAUUGAAGCCCUCUAAGAAAUCUAUUCUGAUAACGAAUUGAUUAAGUAUACAUCACACGUGAAUUAAGCAUCCUAAUUAUGUUUGCCAUAUUUAUUUUGUUUAUCUUUCAAAGGAUUUGACUUGCAAAAUCUGCAAGCCCAUACACGUUUGUGGUGGCAGCACACAUCUCAAUAUCUCAUACAGGAUCGAUUGCAUAUGUCGCACAUGCAAUGCAAUGCAAGAUGAUGUAGUUUGUGGUCCAAAUAUCAGCAAUUCAAUGCAUUCUUUUGCAAACCUGAAUAAGAUGAAAGGUUGAAAACCAUGCACAUACAGUUCUAAUGGGGGAGUAGUUUGGUUCUUCAGUUAGUUUUGACUGUUAAAUUUAGGCUUAGAUUUUUCUCUAUCUUGACUUCAGAUUGUCAUCUAUAAUCUUGGUUUAGGCCUAGGGGAGUUCAGAUGUUUGGACAUAUUAUAAGAAUCUGCUUUCUAGAUCAGCUUUGCAGAUAAUUGGGUCUAAGGUUAAUAACUUAAUAUUUAGGGGUGAACGGUUUGGGACUAAACUAUUAGUAGAGUUUUUGGGCUUAGGAGUUAGGAUUUGAGGCUUAAAUUUACUGCUACACCUGCAAAACAUGUUAAUUCAAUUGAGAGAGAGAGAGAGAGUUAAGGUGGUUUGGUCUCAUUAGUUUACAUUCAUAAUAUAAGACCUAUAGACAAAUAUUGUAAUUUUAAAAGUACUGUAGUAUAUGGUAUUACAGUUUACAAUAGUUUAAUCUAGAAUAUUAUUCACAACUACAUUAUAGAGGGUCUAAUUGAAGAGAAAGUAUCUCUUACGUCCGUCUCAUACUCCAAAUUAAGGAGUUAGUAACUUAAUAUAAUAUAUAGGGACAUUAAUUGAUCAAAAAGUUUAAGAUUAUGGGUUUGAGUCCAGAUAUGUUAUAUUAAUUUCUCAACUUCUCUCAUUUCUCUUCGCAUGAGAUUUCUACUCACGCAUAUUUAUUCAACAGUCUCUCUUUUAUGUGUGAGUGACAAGUGUACACCUAAUCAUUCUAAUAGAAAAACCAUUCUUGAAGCAGUUAUGAAUCCACCAAUUUACUAAACCCACGUCAAGAAUUCCCAAGACUUUGUGAACCAACCGCUCAGUCACCAAGGCGUAAUCCAAACACGAAACUUAUUUGAAAAUAUCUCAAAACAGUACAAUACUUUCUUAAAAAAUAUAUAUAGUAUAAUAACACUAAUUGGAGUGGGUAAAAUGCACAGGUAGAAUAUUUGAUCAAGAUCCAUGAAGAAGAACCAAGUAAUUAUUGCAGGAGAAAUUUUUGUAGCUUCAUUGGUGUCAGGUCAUUUUCAAUCUCUUAUUUUAUGACGUAGUUGUCUGUGAUAACUGUAACUGUUGGUCUUAAUCGCAGUGACAGUUUAACAGAAAGCAUAUCUUUACCCCUCCUACUCCACUUGUAUAAUGUAAUGCCAAACUUGUGGUUGUAGCAUGUUGGCAAGUCCAUUUCUUGAACAGGUAGAGUUUUCUGCAAUCAUGAAAAGUAGCACUAUUGCUCGUGUUUAGCCCUGAAAUAUGACUGCAAUGAUUUGUUUGGCAUCUUAUCGAUCGCAUAAGAUUGCAAGAAAUGUUAGGGAUAUAUCCAUUCUUACACGUCGCUUAUGUGUCAAUUCUUGAUUGGAUUUCAAAUUUACUAAUUACGUGAGAGUAGCACUAUUGCUCA